UCAGGCCUAACACAUGCAAGUCGAACGAGAAAGGGGAGCAAUCCCUGAGUACAGUGGCGUACGGGUGAGUAACACGUGGAUAACCUACCCUCUGGUGGGGAAUAACCCUGGGAAACCGGGGCUAAUACCGCAUAAGUCCGGAAGGAGAAAGGCGCAAGUCGCCGGAGGAGGGGUCCGCGGCCGAUUAGCUUGUUGGUGGGGUAACGGCCUACCAAGGCGAAGAUCGGUAGCCGGCCUGAGAGGGCACACGGCCACACUGGCACUGAAACACGGGCCAGACUCCUACGGGAGGCAGCAGUGGGGAAUCUUGCACGAUGGGGGAAACCCUGAUGCAGCGACGCCGCGUGAGUAAAGGAGCCCUUCGGGGUGUAAAGCUCUUCGACGGGAACGA
rnacentral:rRNA from 1 species